UGGGGAAUCUUAGACAAUGGGGGAAACCCUGAUCUAGCCAUGCCGCGUGAUCGAUGAAUGCCUUAGGGUUGUAAAGAUCUUUCAGUGGGGAAGAUAAUUACUGUACCCACAGAAGAAGCCCCGGCUAACUCCGUGCCAGCAGCCGCGGUAAUACGGAGGGGGCUAGCGUUGUUCGGAAUUACUGGGCGUAAAGCGCACGUAGGCGGAUCAGAAAGUCAGAGGUGAAAUCCCAGGGCUCAACCUUGGAACUGCCUUUGAAACUCCUGAUCUUGAGGUCGAGAGAGGUGAGUGGAAUUCCGAGUGUAGAGGUGAAAUUCGUAGAUAUUCGGAGGAACACCAGUGGCGAAGGCGGCUCACUGGCUCGAUACUGACGCUGAGGUGCGAAAGCGUGGGGAGCAAACA
rnacentral:rRNA from 1 species